rnacentral:rRNA from 1 species
GACGAACGCUGGCGGCGUGCCUAAUACAUGCAAGUUGAGCGCUGAAGGUUGGUACUUGUACCAACUGGAUGAGCAGCGAACGGGUGAGUAACGCGUGGGGAAUCUGCCUUUGAGCGGGGGACAACAUUUGGAAACGAAUGCUAAUACCGCAUAAAAACUUUAAACACAAGUUUUAAGUUUGAAAGAUGCAAUUGCAUCACUCGAAGAUGAUCCCGCGUUGUAUUAGCUAGUUGGUGAGGUAAAGGCUCACCAAGGCGAUGAUACAUAGCCGACCUGAGAGGGUGAUCGGCCACAUUGGGACUGAGACACGGCCCAAACGCCUACGGGAGGCAGCAGUAGGGAAUCUUCGGCAAUGGACGAAAGUCUGACCGAGCAACGCCGCGUGAGUGAAGAAGGUUUUCGGAUCGUAAAACUCUGUUGGUAGAGAAGAACGUUGGUGAGAGUGGAAAGCUCAUCAAGUGACGGUAACUACCCAGAAAGGGACGGCUAACUACGUG